AUCCAGCUUGCGAGUCUCAAAUAGGACGAAACGCACGUCCUGGAU
rnacentral:hammerhead_ribozyme from 1 species